AGCACUAUUAGAAGUGUCAUUUUUCCUGCAAUUUUUUUUUAUACAUUUAUUUGGUAACUCUGAUGAUAUCCCAGUGGUAGAUUUUAGAGAAGCCAAAUUAAUGUUCUUGCUGUAUUGGUGUUACAUUGCUUUAUGUUUUAUAAACAAAAGGGUUUUUUAUUUAACUAAUUUUUAGAACCAAACAUUAUUUUGGCUUUUGAACAAGUGUUUAAGUGUUUGUGUGUAGCUGUUUGUGUAACUUGCUGUAUAUUUUGGUCACCCUUUAUUCUGAAAGCCCAGGGUAUGGUUUGGUGGUUGGAUAAAUCCACCUUUAUGAUUGACAAUAACUAUCAUGAAAAGGCUGUGACCACAUGACAGAAUCGUCUGUAAGGUUCACAUCCUGCCUGUUCACAUCAGUGUAAAAAAAUGUUGGUGGUUAAGUGCUAAAACAAAUGGCAUCAGGUAAGAAUAGUUAUUGUUUGCCUUCUGAUUAUCAGAAUAAUGUUAGCAAAAUGUGCAUCUUGUGCUUCACUUGAGAAAAUGGGGUUGUUUGCUCCCAUCUAACUGAUUGUUGCAUAGAAAAUGAAUGUUUCCUAGAUUUUUUUUUGUGAGGAGUUGGUUGGUUUCUAUGGCUUAGAAGACCCUAAUAAAAAAUAAAAAAUAAAAAAAUUAAAAAACAGAAAUGGGAAAGGCAAGGUUCAGAUGAUCAUAAACCCAAAGCCUAAUUACACAAGUAACAUUUAUAGGGAACUGUGUGGAAUUUCCAAACAAAGUAAUGUUUUAAAAAGCAGAAGUUGUUGCUUAUAAACAACUACAAUAAUGGCUUCUUACUGUAAGCCUUUGAUAAAUGAAACUGUUUGUGGAAUUUUACUUUCUGAGAUUGUAAUGGGAUGGGAUGUAUCUGAAGAAAGGAAAAGGAAUGCUUAGUGUUUGAAGUGCAGUGCUUUUCUGCAGUAAUAUUUGAGCUGGUAUUCUCUCUGGGAAUUAUGUACCUAGAGAGAAUCAAGGCUGGUACAGCAGCAGUGUUGACUUUUGGACAUAAUUUGGGGUAGUAGAUGUAUGCAUAUUGCAUUGUCUAAUUUUAUUCAGCAAACAAAUUUGAGAAUUGGUAUGAUGAAACUCAGAGGUGUUGGGGUUGAUUAGGAAGAGUAGGGAGACAAUUUCUGGUGUAUCAGCAGAUAGGCUGCUGCAAAGAAAGGAGAUGAAAUGUUGAGAAUAUUCUGAACUAUCCAUUAACCCAUUUGUGUAGUACAAAUACAAUCAAAUAAAUGGAGAAUAUUUCAUUUACAGAAAUGAAAGGAAGGUAUACAAUAUUCUAAAAUAACUGGAUUUUUUUUACUCUAAGAUUAGUAGCUUCUUAUUUUACCCACUUUAAUUUAGGCAGGUAAAUCAUUAAAGCUAAUUGCUAUCGUUGAUGAUCUCUGAAUCCAUAACCCCAUUACCCUCUUCGAUCCUAUUAUCAGUCUCUUUGGAGCUUGAAAAAAAUUGCAUUGCCUGAAUGGAGUUACAUGUUUUCAGGUUUCCCAAAAUUUCUAGCAAGAAAAUUAGGGUAACAUCUAGGCUUAAGAAAUUGUAUCCUUGUAUUUUGUAACAACUGUAGCAACGCUGCCAGCCUAAGGGCUACUGAAACUACAACUUGUGAGAUCCAGUCAGAAACCAAUCCCAAAGUGCUCACAGAAAUGUGCUGCAAAGAGAACCUGAAGAUGGGAGGGUAUGAAAGCAAUGCAGUGAUUUAAUUUUGUCUUGAAUCUUGAACUUUGAAGUCUUAGGCAGUAUUACACUUCGUUUUGCUGUCAGUUUAUUAUGAUUUGCCUCUGAUGCUCUGAAGCAAAAGACUAGAUAUGGUUUCCAUAGCAAUUACAACUAUCCGAAUAUGCUCGGAACUGCCUUUGCAUUGCUUCCAUUUUUCCAAGGAUUUUUAUUUACCAGAUGAAUGGUGCAAGGUAACUUUAUUAGAGAGCUGCAAGAGGGAUUUGUUGUGUGCUUUUGGGAAAGGGAUCAGCUAUCUUAGCCAUGGUAUUUGUCAAAUUUUGCAAUUAAAAAACUACCAUCAUUGUCUCCCCACAUUUGUAACCUAAUGGAAUAUGUAAGAGCACCACAGCCAUUGCACUUCAGAGGGCAUCGGCUUCAUGCAGCUGGGUCAGAGUCCGAGCUGUGAGUGGUUGAGCUGUGUGCACAUGCCUAAUUUUCCUGGCUCUUCUUCAGAGUGGAGACAAACAGAGCACGUGGUGUCACAGCUUGUAAAAUCCUUUCAGUCUGUGCACUAACAGAACUGAAGUGUGCUGUGAUAAAAAAAGAAAGUACUGUCAAGUAGAUUUGGUCCAAUUUUGUGCUGGCUUUUGCCCUUUUGAUGGUGAUCCCUUGACAGGACUUCCAAGUUAUGACAAAAUUCUCCAGAUGUUUGCUAUCUAUGUAUCAUUUUCUGAAUUAUACUCUAGUGAUACAGCAGCAAUUAAUUGUUCCACACAGUGACUUUUACAAACCAAAGAAGCUCACUUCUUUUGGAAGUUAACUUAAUUCAGCACUGGGAAUUGCCCAGUAGCUCACUGGGAAGUUAUGGAAACAAAACCAGAAGAGCAUGUGUCAUACAUGGGAACUAUUAGAGCUCUUCAUCAGAAAUAAAUGUCUGUCUUGACUCUUCUUACACUUCAUCAAAUUCAGAACAUCAGUUGUCCUAUUACUUGCUAUUUCCUGGCAGAUCUUCUACUGUGUAAUCUCUGAGCUCUAAUAUUUUGUGUGUCUUCCCUUGCCCACUCUCUACUGACACAUGAUUUGUGGUUUCUCCUAACCAAGGUAAGGCUCUAACUUUCUUCUAUAGAGUUACACCUUGUAUCUGAUUAUUUGUAGUUUGUUUUGUGUCAAGUUCCUGUGUACUCAUACAGCCAGAAACCAGCAAGCUACGCAGAUUUGUUAUGAGAUAAAGUGUCUGACUCUCUAGAGUGGCACAGAUGGAACGGUGCUACUUUCACUGUGGAUGUGCUACUAAAAUUUAAAAGGAACAGCAUGAAAAACAUCUUAUCUGUCAGAGAAGAUUCUCAUUGAAAUGUCUGUCUUUGGAAUCCAAAAAUGGUGACUGAAUACAUAAGGUGUUUGUUAAGGAAUUAACUCAAGCUGUUCAGCUCUUUUUCAAACUUUACUGUGACAGAUAAACUAAAUAUUCUUUGGAUUUUUUUAGAAAUAUUUUUCUUAUGAAAAAUAGAUCUGUGUAGAAUUUCUGCUAAAGUUUGUCAGAGCUUUUCAAAGUAACUACUUACUUUGUACAAGCACUUUAGACAAGAAUUUAGAAUUGAAUUCUAGACUCAGUCACGAGAUGUGGAAAUGCUACUGCUGUGGAUCCUAAGGAAUCAAAGUUAAUUGCAGUAAUUUACUGCUGAGCUGUGUGGUGCAUAAAAUCAAAAUAUAUAGACUGACAAGAAAAUCUAAAGUCAAGCAUAUUCAUUUUAACAAAUGAAUGGUACAAUUUCAGUACCAUUAAUAACUCAUUAUGGGUAUUAUUUCUUCUGCUAUGCCUCCUUUGACACACUCUUGGUGUACCAAAUCUGCCUCCUGUUCUUUUUUUGUGCUGUUAACAAUCACUGUCUCCCCUCUGGAGGUUUUUCACAGACCUCAAUCCUCUCCACACUGCACAAAACCCAUUUUACUUCUGAAAACAAGGCCUAGCAGGGCUCCUCUCAGGAUACAAUGCCUAUGGGGUGAGAGACAGAGGCCAGUCCUUCUCCAUGGGCUGUGGGGCUAAGGUAAGAGGUGGUGGGACUGACACUCCUUACAGAUGGAUACAAUUCAAAAACAUCUUCAGGGAAGUUUGAACUAAUUUUUUUCUGCAUUUCACUGUAUGCCCUUUUAAAAGCUUUUUUGGCUGCAACAUGUUGCAAUGUGCCCCUCCUGUGCUGUCAGACCAUGUGCUUAAUGCUGGUUUUUACCUUCCUGGAGAGCCUCCUGUAGUGGCAAUUUUGGACAGAGAGCUGAAGAUGGAAAAAACCUCUGUCCUUUACAUCCUUUUUUUUCAAGCAGUGCUGCUGUUCAAGCCCCAUUCUGUCUUUGAAGACCUCUCCUAUUUAUUUAAUUUUGAUUUUUUUUCCUUUAGUGAGCAGAAUGCUCCUCAGAAGAGAUAGCUUCAAAACUGUCAUAGAGGUGCUCACUCAUAAUUGUUUCACAGCAACAAGAAUACUUCUGAGAGGAAAAAAGAUCACUUCAAGACCUAAUAAAAUGAAAUCAAGUCAAUACUGUUCCUGAAAUUUCAUACAAGAAAAAAGCGUGGCACAGAGGUUUACGUGGAGUCCAUGCUUUUGGUGCUGGUUUUUGAUGUCCCAACUGUUCCAAAGCUCUCAAAAGGACGAAGAUUCUGUAACAAGGGGUGCAGGGGUACUGCUGCAAGUGACCACAGCUGAACUGGGGAUCUGAAAACUGGCAUCUGCAGUGCUGGUAUGUCUGCUUGGGCAACAGCAGCAGAUUCUUGAUAUGUAGGGAAUGGGAAAGAACAGCAUUCACAUUGAUUUGGCUUUUUGUGUCCUUUAAUUAUUGAUGGUUCAGUCAUCAAAGAAUAAUGUGGAAAACACUUUAACCAGUAACUGGUAAUGCAAAUUAUCCUUGAGCUCAUUCAGACAUUGUUUCUGUAUUCAAUUCCUGUUACUACACCAGGUCUCCUAAAUUUGCUUCAGUUUCUUUGUCCUCAAAUGUUCAUCUGGCAGAGUUGGUUUUGGUUUAGCUCUUUUGUUUCAGCUGAGUGAAUGGUAAGUUUUCUACUUUCAUAUCCAGAUAUCUAUUUGUUUUGCAAGUCUACCUCCUAAACACCUUGCUUGGUUUUAGGUUCCUCUCUCUACAGGAGUGUGUGAUCUGUUGUUUCUAAACUUACCCAUUCCUUAUUGUGAAUUUUAACUUGGGUCUCUGCAGAUGAUCAGAACAGAAGCUGAUGGAACAGGUAAACAAACAAGAUUUUCAACCCUUCUGUAUUAGAAUACAGUUUUGUAUGAAAAAACUUCUAUAGUACUGUAGAAGCUGCACUCAAAAUAUUUAGAGCAGAACAGGAAUUUGUUGAGAUGGACAUGAAUGUAUUUGUAUUCAGGAAUAACCUCAAUGUGGUUUUGUUUGAAAAUUCCUUUUGUCAUCAGUGUUCUCUUCUGGUAAUGCUAGUAUGGAAGUCAUUUGGAAAUGCAUAAAAUGCUUAUAUUUGUAACAGUUUUGGGAAAAGUAGUGCACAAACCAUGAAGGGAACCCCCCCAGAGCAACAACAUCCACCCAACCAAAUCUUUUGUUGUUGCAAUGUGCUGAUGUUUGGCUUAUUAAAUAGGAGGAAAAGCCUGGAGAAUAAUAUAUCAGGAAAAGUGUUCUCUGUGAUUUAAUAAAAUGGCUACUGUCAAAUACUCAAUUUUUUAAUUUGUACAACGUAGAUACCAUUUUCUGUUGUUUUAGACUGGAACUUUAGUGAAGGAAACUAAUAACUAAGCAUUCUUCCACUCACUUAUAUAAAAUUUUGUCUUCAAAAUUCCUCAAAGUUAUUUACCUAUAGAGUUACAUCAUUAAUUAUUUAGGGAAUAUUAUCAUGGGCAUGUGUGGAAAAUAACUCUGUAAGUAAAUGACAGAACGCAUUCCUCAAAAAUCAUGGUACAGGGUGUUUACCUUUUCCUUUUCCAUCUGUUUGGGCCUGUUCUUUCUGUUACAUUUACUAAGAGAUGUCCCUCAUAUAGAGUGUCACCACCUUCAUGUUAUUCUGCU